rnacentral:rRNA from 1 species
CAGCCGUAAACUAUGCUCGCUAGGUGUCAGGCAUGGCGCGACCGUGUCUGGUGCCGCAGGGAAGCCGUGAAGCGAGCCACCUGGGAAGUACGGCCGCAAGGCUGAAACUUAAAGGAAUUGGCGGGGGGAGCACAACAACGGGUGGAGCCUGCGGUUUAAUUGGACUCAACGCCGGACAACUCACCGGGGUCGACAGCAAUAUGUAGGCCAGGCUGAAGACCUUGCCUGAAUCGCUGAGAGGAGGUGCAUGG